UGCUCACGCUCUCUUUCUCUCUCUCUCAAAAGUAAAUAAACAUUAAAAAAAUUUUAGAGAGAGAUGUGAUAUAUAUGGAAGAAACCAUUAUACCUUUUGUUAUGAAAUGUGUUAGAAAAAAUAUGGUUGACAGAGGAGAAAGCUGAGCUCAAGACUCAAGUUUCUACUGUGACUGCUAUCAUCUGACUGAGGCUGCUUUUACCCUUCUGCGCUUUCAUUCUUCUUUCUGUAAAGAAGCACUAGUGAUCAUUUUUGACACUCCUCACCCAGAGAUAACAAAAGGAUGCUACAGUGAAUGUUAAAAUAUCUUGAGCCCCUUAAAUAAAAGGUGCUAAGUAAAUACGUAAGAAUCUACUUUCAGAAAAAGGUAGUAUUCUCUCCUACCCUGAUCCCUACAUUCUAUAUUGACCCAAACACAAUUAAAUGCUUGAAAUGUAUAGCAAAUAUAAGCCCGUAUCUGUGCAUUACAGAGAUGUAUGUGACAAAUGUAAACAGAAUAAAAUGAAAACAAUAAUGAAAAAUUGGGGAAUGUGACAAAGAGAUUAUUAAACUUAUAUUUGACCAUAGAAGGUUUUUUUUUCCUGGCUUGCUUACACAGAGCUCUUUGUGAGGUAAGGGUGUGACUUAUUCCUGAUCUCUAAGGUGUGCUGUGAUGUCAGAUGUCGGUUCUAUUGUGUCUUAUUGGUCAAACCCUCAACAACAGAGCUGGGACAGAAAACACUUUGCUUCAAUGAUGUAUCUGCUGUUGAUCUCAUAAAAAGAAAGUUCUUUAAAAUACAGGUUGGCUCUGUGGUGAAGGAGUUGAAAUGGAGUCUAGGGUUUCCUAGACCCCACAUUUGAUUCAACUACCAGAAGAAGGAAGAAUUCAUUUCUCUCUCUACCUGGGACAGCAGUUUGACAAGUGAGGAGAUUCCUUAGCAGGGCAUGAUGAUCCGGAUUCCCAGCCGUGGCUUCAGCGCGCCCACCGGUCCCGCCUCUGCCCAGGUGCAGUGCCCACCGCUUCCUAGGGCCUCCGGUGAGCACAGCCGUGUCCCAAGUCCUCGAUGACUCUCUCGGAUGUCCCCGGGGGCCUCAGGGCUCUCCCGCGGGCUUCGGCUCCCUUCUCAGCGAUGCCCAGGGCCCAGGUGUAGAAAGCACACCAAAUAAAAAUGACGACUCAGCAACGGAG